GGCUCAGAACGAACACUGGCGGCGUGGAUAAGACAUGCAAGUCGUGCGACAGACCAGGAAUUGAUUACUUCGGUUUGAUUUUCCUGACGAUGAGCGGCGAACGGGUGCGUAACACGUGAGAAAUCUGCCCUUAAGUUCGGAAUAGCCCUACGAAAGUAGAAUUAAUACCGGAUGUGGCCCAGGGAGGGCAUCUUCCCCUGGCUAAAGCUCGGUUAUAGAGCGCUUUUGGAUGAUCUCGCGGUCUAUCAGCUUGUUGGUGAGGUAAUGGCUCACCAAGGCUUUGACGGAUAGCUGGUCUGAGAGGAUGAUCAGCCUCACUGGAACUGAGACACGGUCCAGACACCUACGGGUGGCAGCAGUCGAGAAUCAUUCACAAUGGGCGCAAGCCUGAUGGUGCGACGCCGCGUGGGGGAUGAAGGGCUUCGGUUCGUAAACCCCUGUCAUCUGUGAGUAAGACUCCCAAUAAAAGCUUGGGAGGUUGAUAUUAGCAGAAGAGGAAGGGACGGCUAACUCUGUGCCAGCAGCCGCGGUAAUACAGAGGUCCCAAGCGUUGUUCGGAUUUACUGGGCGUAAAGGGUGCGUAGGCGGCUAGAAAAGUUUGGUGUGAAAUCUUCGGGCUCAACCCGGAAACUGCACUGAAAACUAUCUGGCUAGAGGA
rnacentral:rRNA from 1 species